UGGCUCUCGCAACGAUGAAGAACGCAGCGAAAUGCGAUAAGUAGUGUGAAUUGCAGAAUUCAGUGAAUCAUCGAAUCUUUGAACGCACAUUGCGCUCCCUGGUAUUCCGGGGAGCAUGCCCGUUUCAGAAUCAUUUUAAUAUCUCACCAAGUUAUGGGUGCAAGCUCAUAACCAGGUGGAAUUUGGAUGUUUUGUCUCUGUACAAUCAUCUUAAAAUGAUCGUAUGUGCUUGAGUGUGCUCUGGCAGUUGGGUACCAACGUGCAACAGAUUUUAUCUUUUCGCUUUGGUAUUUAAUUGAAAUCCGGUACCUGAAGCAUAUAUUUGCUGGCUUACAGAUGUUAUGCAUAAUGCAUGUAUAGCUUCUGAUAACUUGGUCUGAAAUCGGGCAAGAAAACCCGCUGA
rnacentral:misc_RNA from 1 species